UCCUCUAUCCGAGGACAAUAUAUUAAAUGGAUUUUUGGAGCAGGGAGUUGGAAUAGGAGCUUGCUCCGUCCACUCCACGCAUCGACCUGGUAUUGCAGUACCUCCAGGAACGGUGCAUC
rnacentral:snRNA from 1 species